rnacentral:rRNA from 1 species
CCCAGACAGCCGGGAGGUUGGCUUAGAAGCAGCCAUCCUUUAAAGAGUGCGUAACAGCUCACCGGUCGAUGCCGCCCUGCGCCGAAAAUGUAGCGGGGCUCAAGCCCGCCGCCGAAGCCGCGGGCCCUGGCAAGCCUAGCCUUGCCGGGGCGGUAGGGGAGCGUCCUGUCCAGCGUCGAAGGUGGGCCGCGAGGCCUGCUGGAGCGGGCAGGAGUGAGAAUGCCGGCACGAGUAGCAAGAGGCAGGUGAGAAUCCUGCCCACCGAAUGGCCAAGGUUUCCUACGGAAGGAUCGUCCGCGUAGGGUUAGGCGGGACCUAAGGCUAAGCCGCACAGGCGAUGCCGAUGGACAGCCGGUCAACAUUCCGGCCCCGCCGCCGUGGCGCUACGAGACGGAGGGGGGACCCAGGAGGGUAGGUCGAGCGGGCCUACUGGACAUGGUCCGUCCUUGGGCCGUAGGCGUCUGGGGGUAGGCAAAUCCGCCCCCAGGUCAAGCGGAGGGCCCGAGGCGAGGGGCGACUACGGUCAAACCGAGUCGGCCGAGCCCACACUGGCAAGAAAAGCCUCGCCGUCCAGUCACGGCGGUGCCCGUACCGGAAACCGACACAGGUGGCCUGGGGUAAACGCCCUAAGGUGGACGCGUGACUCCCCGUCAAGGAACUCGGCAAGCUGACCCCGUAACUUCGGGAGAAGGGGUGCCCUCUGGGGUGAAGGCCCUCGCGGCCGGAGCCCUGGGGGGUCGCAGCGAAGCGGCCCUGGCGACUGUUUAACAAAAACACAGGUCUCUGCUAAGGGGAAACCCGCAGUAUAGGGGCCGACGCUUGCCCAGUGCCGGAAGGUUAAGGGGAGGGGUGAUGAGCCCCAAACCGAAGCCCCGGUGAACGGCGGCCGUAACUCUGACGGUCCUAAGGUAGCGAAAUUCCUUGUCGGGUAAGUUCCGACCCGCACGAAAAGCGUAACGACUGGGGCGCUGUCUCGACGGGGAGCGCGGUGAAACUGCAGGGCCCGUGAAGAUGCGGGCUACCCGCCGCGGGACAAGAAGACCCCGUGGAGCUUUACUGCAGCUUGGCGUUGGCGACGGGCCAAGGAUGCGUAGGAUAGGUGGGAGGCUGAGAACCCCCGGCUCCGGCUGGGGGGGAGCCGCCGGUGAAAUACCACUCUUCCUUGGUCUAUCGCCUAACCCGCUGUGCGGGGACAGCGCCUGGUGGGCAGUUUGACUGGGGCGGUCGCCUCCUAAAAGGUAACGGAGGCGCCCAAAGGUCCCCUCAGGCUGGAUGGAAAUCAGCCGUUGAGUGUAUGGGCAGAAGGGGGCUUGACUGCGAGGCCUACAAGCCGAGCAGGGGGGAAACCCGGGCCAAGUGAUCCCACGGUACCGCGUGGGAGGGCCGUGGCUUAUCGGAUAAAAGCUACCCCGGGGAUAACAGGCUGAUCGGGCCCAAGAGUUCACAUCGACGGCCCGGUUUGGCACCUCGAUGUCGGCUCGUCCCAUCCUGGGGCUGGAGAAGGUCCCAAGGGUUGGGCUGUUCGCCCAUUAAAGGGGCACGUGAGCUGGGUUCAGAACGUCGUGAGACAGUUCGGUCUCUAUCCGCGGUGGGCGUUGGAGGCUUGAGGGGGGCUGGCCCUAGUACGAGAGGACCGGGCUGGGCGGACCGCUGGUGUGCCGGUUGUCCCGCCAGGGGCAAAAAGCCGGGUAGCCAUGUCCGCACGGGAUAAGCGCUGAAAGCAUCUAAGCGCGAAGCCCUCCCCAAGAUGAGGCCUCCCACCCCCUCGAGGGGGUAAGGCCACGGGAAGACCACCCGUUAGAUAGGCGGCAGGUGUAAGCCGGGCAACCGGUGUAGCUGAGCCGUACUAAUGGCCGAGGGCUUGAC